CGGCACGGAGCUGGCAUCUGGAGUUAGCGCGAUCCCCACCAACACUGCUGCCUACCUUCCCUCCCCAAGAAGCCUGGCAGCUGGUGACUUUGCCUGGCUCCUGGCUCCUGGCUCCUGGCUCCCAGCACAGCUUCUAGAGGCCGCCGUGCACCCCCUCAGUUCUACCCCAGGAAGCCCCAAAUUCUACAGCCUGUAGCUUCUCAAGCUUCAUCCUCAGAACUUCCCAGAGCCCAUUCAUUCAUUCAUUCAUUCAAGGAAUGUUUUACUGAGCUCCUGCUAGGUAUUAGGCAUCCAUGGAUACACCCUUGGGAUACAGGAAGGCACAAACUUCUAAAGCAUUCUGCAGAUGUUAGAAGAAACUCCAGGAAGGUUCUGAACACCCCAGGCUGUUUGAGCCUCCAUGGCUCCAUACCUUCUGGAAUUCCUCUUCUGACGCCGCCUGGUGAACAUCUACUCGUCCUUCAUUUCCGCUACUAAUGAAUCCCUCUUGGAGGAAAAUUCCAGAAGAAAGAAGCAAAGAGAGCAUGAAAGAAAUCCUGAAUUCUAAAAUGGCUAUUUUCGAAGGUUUAACAUAAGCAGUUCCUUUCAACUAUUCUCACACUCAUUCUAGGGUGCCUCAUUAGCUACAAAAAAUGCACAUUUAACUAGUGGAACCAAUUAGUGAUGCUGAUUCUUUUCAUCUUUUUUGAGAUUACCAAGUUAUUCAAGAUACAUUUAACAAAUAUAUGGAUAAAACAUGUGUGAUUUAUUUUCAAUUGCUCUGGGUCAAUAAAAGACUUAAAUGCAUAUUAUCAAAUCAAAUCAAAUCAUGGAUUGAUUAAAUCUAUUGCUUAUCUUACUUCAUCUUAUUAAAUAUUUAAUAUUUUCUGUUACCUACUAAUAAAAAUACAAAGUUAUAUGAUGAACUGAUUAGUUUGUUUUCUUUAGUAGUAUAUAUCUUUCUCUGUCACUGAAUAGAUAGGAAAAGUUUGAUUACAAUGUUUAAUAAGUUAUUUCUGCUUUUUAAAUGUGGAAUUUUAUUUAUUUUUUCCCAAAACCUGAACACCAGAGUUUGAGAACGCAU